rnacentral:rRNA from 1 species
UACGUAGGGCGCAAGCGUUGUCCGGAAUUAUUGGGCGUAAGGAGCUCGUAGGCGGCCUGUUGCGUCCGCUGUGAAAUCCCGGGGCUCAACCCCGGGCGUGCAGUGGAUACGGGCUGGCUAGAGGCAGGCAGGGGAGAACGGAAUUCCUGGUGUAGCGGUGAAAUGCGCAGAUAUCAGGAGGAACACCGGUGGCGAAGGCGGUUCUCUGGGCCUGUACUGACGCUGAGGAGCGAAAGCGUGGGGAGCGAACAGG